AGCGAACGCUGGCGGCGUGCCUAACACAUGCAAGUCGAACGUGAAAAGGGAAACCUGAGUAAAGUGGCGUACGGGUGAGUAACGCGUAGGUAAUCUACCCCAGAAUCCGGAAUAACCUGCCGAAAGGCGGGCUAAUACUGGAUAGAGCGAGGGAACUCGUAAGAGAGUUUUUCGGGAAAGGGAGCCCGCAAGGGCCUUCGUUCUGGGAUGAGCCUGCGUCUCAUUAGCUAGUUGGUAAGGUAACGGCUUACCAAGGCGAUGAUGAGUAGCUGGUCUGAGAGGAUGAUCAGCCACACUGGAACUGAAACACGGUCCAGACUCCUACGGGAGGCAGCAGUGGGGAAUCUUGCGCAAUGGACGAAAGUCUGACGCAGCCACGCCGCGUGAGUGAAGAAGGCCUUCGGGUUGUAAAGCUCUGUCGGAUGGGACGAACAUCUUCAUAGUGAAUAGCUAUGAGGACUGACGGUACCAUCAAAGGAAGCACCGGCUAACUCCGUG
rnacentral:rRNA from 1 species